GACGUAGGGCGCGAGCGUUGUCCGGAUUUAUUGGGCGUAAAGAGCUCGUAGGCGGCUUGUCGCGUCGACUGUGAAAACCCGCGGCUCAACCGUGUGGUCUGCAGUCGAUACGGGCAGGCUAGAGUUCGGUAGGGGAGACUGGAAUUCCUGGUGUAGCGGUGAAAUGCGCAGAUAUCAGGAAGAACACCAACGGCGAAGGCAGCUCGCUGGGACGGU
rnacentral:rRNA from 1 species